rnacentral:ncRNA from 1 species
AAAUUCCUUGUCGGGUAAGUUCCGACCUGCACGAAUGGCAUAAUGAUGGGGGCGCUGUCUCCAGCAGAGACUCAGUGAAAUCGAAUUCGCCGUGAAGAUGCGGUGUACCCGCGGCUAGACGGAAAGACCCCGUGAACCUUUACUGCAGCUUGACAUUGAACUUUGAUCUUACUUGUGUAGGAUAGGUGGGAGGCUUUGAAACCGAGACGCUAGUUUCGGUGGAGCCAAUCUUGAAAUACCACCCUGGUAAUAUUGAGGUUCUAACUCUG